UAAAAAAGCCAAGUAAGCGAAAGUUUAUGACGCAAAGCCAUAGGUCUAAAAGCAAAUAUGCUAACGAUAGCCGGGCUAC
rnacentral:ncRNA from 1 species